GACGAACGCUGGCGGCGUGCUUAACACAUGCAAGUCGAACGGAAAGGCCCCCUUGUGGGGUACUCGAGUGGCGAACGGGUGAGUAACACGUGAGUAACCUACCCUUGACUUUGGGAUAACUUCAGGAAACUGGGGCUAAUACCGGAUAGGAGCUCCUGCUGCAUGGUGGGGGUUGGAAAGUUUCGGCGGUUGGGGAUGGACUCGCGGCUUAUCAGCUUGUUGGUGGGGUAGUGGCUCACCAAGGCUUUGACGGGUAGCCGGCCUGAGAGGGUGACCGGCCACAUUGGGACUGAGAUACGGCCCAGACUCCUACGGGAGGCAACAGUGGGGAAUAUUGCACAAUGGGCGGAAGCCUGAUGCAGCAACGCCGCGUGCGGGAUGACGGCCUUCGGGUUGUAAACCGCUUUCGCCUGUGACGAAGCGUGAGUGACGGUAAUGGGUAAAGAAGCACCGGCUAACUACGU
rnacentral:rRNA from 1 species